AAGGAAUUAGCUCAAUGGUAGAGCUACCGUUUUACACACGGUAGGUUGGGUGUUCAAGUCACCUAUUCCUUA
rnacentral:tRNA from 1 species